GAUGAACGCUGGCGGCAUGCCUAACACAUGCAAGUCGAUCGGUAAGGCUCUUCGGAGUACCCGAGAGGCGGACGGCUGAGUAACGCGUAGGAACACACCCUGCAGUGAGGGAUAAGACACCGAAAGGUGUUCUAAUACCGCAUACGGUCUUCGGAUUAAAGCAUUUAUGCGCUGAAGGAGUGGCCUGCGUCAUAUUAGAUAGUUGGUGAGGUAAUGGCUCACCAAGUCGAUGAUGUGUAGCUGGUCUGAGAGGAUGAUCAGCCAGACUGGAACUGAGACACGGUCCAGACCCCUACGGGAGGCAGCAGUGAGGAAUAUUUCACAAUGAGCGAAAGCUUGAUGGAGCAAUGCCGCGUGCAGGAUGAAGGCCCUCGGGUUGUAAACUGCUUUUAUAAGAGAAGAUUAUGACGGUAACUUAUGAAUAAGGGACGGCUAACUACGUG
rnacentral:rRNA from 1 species